AUUGGUAGAGGAGGAGUGAUCGAGCCUGCGCUUAAGUGCGCGGCGAGGUUGUUCUUUUUCGUUACGCCCAUAAAUCUUUACACACACUGGAGUUUUAUUUCUACAGUAUCGGAGGUAGCAAAACCCCCAAAACAAAACACAAACAAAUAUUUUUUAUUAUUUUAAAUUGUCAUUUCAAAAACUGCUUUAUUGCAGUAACCAAAAAAUUCAAAACUUUCAACAACGGAUCUCUUGGUUCUCGCAUCGAUGAAGAACGCAGCGAAAAGCGAUACGUAAAGUGAAAUGCAGAAAUCCCUGAAACAUCGAAACUUUGAACGCACAUUGCGCCCCUUGGUAUUCCAGGGGGCAUGCCUGUUUGAGCGUCAUUUCCUUCUCAAAAACUUGUAUUUGGUUGUGAGUGACACUCAGUCUUGCAUUGAGUUAACUUGAAAAUGUUGGCCCUAGCGGUUGUUGCAGCUUAUAGUUUUUGUGUAAAGGUAUGAUUUCUUUACUAUUAAACAGGAUGCUUGAGCAUGUCGUAUUAGGUUUUACCAACUCCCGCAGACUCGGUAUCUUGGAAGAGCGUACUGGCAUUAGAACAUUGAACUGUCGACUGUGGCAAACAGUACUCUUUAAGUUUGACCUCAAAACAGGUAGGAAAACCCCCUGAACUUAAGCAUAUCAAAAGCCCGAGGAA
rnacentral:rRNA from 1 species